AGGAAUGUAGCUUAGAGGUAGAGUGCUUGCCUAGCAUGCAUGAAGCCCUGGAUUCCAUUCCUC
rnacentral:tRNA from 1 species